AACGAACGCUGGCGGCAGGCUUAACACAUGCAAGUCGAGCGCCCCGCAAGGGAGGCGGCAGACGGGUGAGUAACGCGUGGGAAUCUACCCAGCUCUACGGAAUAACUCAGGGAAACUUGUGCUAAUACCGUAUACGUCCGAUAGGAGAAAGAUUUAUCGGAGUUGGAUGAGCCCGCGUUGGAUUAGCUAGUUGGGUGGGGUAAUGGCCUACCAAGGCGACGAUCCAUAGCUGGUCUGAGAGGAUGAUCAGCCACACUGGGACUGAGACACGGCCCAGACUCCUACGGGAGGCAGCAGUGGGGAAUAUUGGACAAUGGGCGAAAGCCUGAUCCAGCCAUGCCGCGUGAGUGAUGAAGGCCCCUAGGGCUGUAAAGCUCUUUCAACGGUGAAGAUAAUGACGGUAACCGUAGAAGAAGCCCCGGCUAACUUCGUGCCAGCAGCCGCGGUAAU
rnacentral:rRNA from 1 species